GCCUGGGUGGCUCAGUUGGUUAAGUGUCUGACUUUGACUCAGGUCAUGAUCUCACAGUUUGUGAGUUCGAGCUCUGCCUCAGGCU
rnacentral:tRNA from 1 species